rnacentral:rRNA from 1 species
GAUGAACGCUGGCGGCGUGCCUAAUACAUGCAAGUCGAGCGAACGGACGAGAAGCUUGCUUCUCUGAUGUUAGCGGCGGACGGGUGAGUAACACGUGGAUAACCUACCUAUAAGACUGGGAUAACUUCGGGAAACCGGAGCUAAUACCGGAUAACACCUCGGAUCGCAUGAUCCGAAGUUGAAAGAUGGUUCUGCUAUCACUUACAGAUGGACCCGCGGCGCAUUAGCUAGUUGGUGAGGUAGUGGCUCACCAAGGCAACGAUGCGUAGCCGACCUGAGAGGGUGAUCGGCCACACUGGGACUGAGACACGGCCCAG